UACGGAGGGUGCGAGCGUUGUCCGGAAUCAUUGGGCGUAAAGGGCGCGUAGGUGGCGGCUUAAGCGUGCGGUGAAAGCUCGGGGCUCAACCCCGAGUCGGCCGUGCGAACUGGGCUCACUGGAGCAUAGUAGAGGCAGGUGGAAUUCCGGGUGUAGCGGUGGAAUGCGUAGAGAUCCGGAAGAACACCGGUGGCGAAGGCGGCCUGCUGGGCUAUGGCUGACACUGAGGCGCGACAGCGUGGGGAGCAAACAGG
rnacentral:rRNA from 1 species